rnacentral:tRNA from 5 species
GCCCCCGUGGUGGAAUUGGUAUACACAGCAGGUUGAGGGCCUGUGCCCGUAUGGGCAUGUCUGUUCGAGUCAGACCGGGGGCA